GUCGAACGAUGAUCCCAGCUUGCUGGGGGAUUAGUGGCGAACGGGUGAGUAACACGUGAGUAACCUGCCCUUAACUCUGGGAUAAGCCUGGGAAACUGGGUCUAAUACCGGAUAUGACUCCUCAUCGCAUGGUGGGGGGUGGAAAGCUUUUUGUGGUUUUGGAUGGACUCGCGGCCUAUCAGCUUGUUGGUGAGGUAAUGGCUCACCAAGGCGACGACGGGUAGCCGGCCUGAGAGGGUGACCGGCCACACUGGGACUGAGACACGGCCCAGACUCCUACGGGAGGCAGCAGUGGGGAAUAUUGCACAAUGGGCGAAAGCCUGAUGCAGCGACGCCGCGUGAGGGAUGACGGCCUUCGGGUUGUAAACCUCUUUCAGUAGGGAAGAAGCGAAAGUGACGGUACCUGCAGAAGAAGCGCCGGCUAACUACGUGCCAGCAGCCGCGGUAAUACGUAGGGCGCAAGCGUUAUCCGGAAUUAUUGGGCGUAAAGAGCUCGUAGGCGGUUUGUCGCGUCUGCCGUGAAAGUCCGGGGCUCAACUCCGGAUCUGCGGUGGGUACGGGCAGACUAGAGUGAUGUAGGGGAGACUGGAAUUCCUGGUGUAGCGGUGAAAUGCGCAGAUAUCAGGAGGAACACCGAUGGCGAAGGCAGGUCUCUGGGCAUUAACUGACGCUGAGGAGCGAAAGCAUGGGGAGCGAACAGGAUUAGAUACCCU
rnacentral:rRNA from 1 species